rnacentral:rRNA from 1 species
GAUGAACGCUGGCGGCGUGCCUAAUACAUGCAAGUCGAGCGAACGGACGAGAAGCUUGCUUUUCUGAUGUUAGCGGCGGACGGGAGAGUAACACGUGGAUAACCUACCUAUAAGACUGGGAUAACUUCGGGAAACAGGAGCUAAUACCGGAUAAUAUUUUGAACCGCAUGGUUCAAACGUGAAAGACGGUCUUGCUGUCACUAAUAGAUGGAUCCGCGCUGCAUUAGCUAGUUGGUAAGGUAACGGCUUACCAAGGCAACGAUGCAUAGCCGACCUGAGAGGGUGAUCGGCCACACUGGAACUGAGACACGGUCCAGACUCCUACGGGAGGCAGCAGUAGGGAAUCUUCCGCAAUGGGCGAAAGCCUGACGGAGCAACGCCGCGUGAGUGAUGAAGGUCUUCGGAUCGUAAAACUCUGUUAUUAGGGAAGAACAUAUGUGUAAGUAACUGUGCACAUCUUGACGGUACCUAAUCAGAAAGCCACGGCUAACUACGUG